CUCGUAGUAGAACCUUGGGCCUGGCUGGCCGGUCCGCCUCACCGCGUGCACUGGUCCGGCCGGGCCUUUCCCUCUGCGGAACCGCAUGCCCUUCACUGGGUGUGCCGGGGAAGCAGGACUUUUACUUUGAAAAAAUUAGAGUGCUCCAGGCAGGCCUAUGCUCGAAUACAUUAGCAUGGAAUAAUAGAAUAGGACGCGUGGUUCUAUUUUGUUGGUUUCUAGGACCGCCGUAAUGAUUAAUAGGGACAGUCGGGGGCAUCAGUAUUCAAUUGUCAGAGGUGAAAUUCUUGGAUUUAUUGAAGACUAACUACUGCGAAAGCAUUUGCCAAGGAUGUUUUCAUUUAUCAGGAACGAAAGUUAGGGGAUCGAAGACGAUCAGAUACCGUCGUAGUCUUAACCAUAAACUAUGCCGACUAGGGAUCGGACGAUGUUAUUUUUUGACUCGUUCGGCACCUUACGAGAAAUCAAAGUGCUUGGGCUCCAGGGGGAGUAUGGUCGCAAGGCUGAAACUUAAAGAAAUUGACGGAAGGGCACCACCAGGGGUGGAGCCUGCGGCUUAAUUUGACUCAACACGGGGAAACUCACCAGGUCCAGACACAAUGAGGAUUGACAGAUUGAGAGCUCUUUCUUGAUUUUGUGGGUGGUGGUGCAUGGCCGUUCUUAGUUGGUGGAGUGAUUUGUCUGCUUAAUUGCGAUAACGAACGAGACAUUGACCUACUAAAUAGCCCGUAUUGCUUUGGCAGUACGCCGGCUUCUUAGAGGGACUCUCGGCUUA
rnacentral:rRNA from 1 species